rnacentral:rRNA from 1 species
UACGUAGGGUGCGAGCGUUAAUCGGAAUUACUGGGCGUAAAGCGUGCGCAGGCGGUUCGCCAAGUCAGGUGUGAAAUCCCCGGGCUUAACCUGGGAAUUGCGCUUGAAACUAGCGAGCUUGAGUGUGGCAGAGGGGGGUGGAAUUCCACGUGUAGCAGUGAAAUGCGUAGAGAUGCGGAGGAACACCGAUGGCGAAGGCAGCCCCCUGGGCCAAUACUGACGCUCAGGCACGAAAGCGUGGGGAGCAAACAGG